CGAUCCACUCCCGUUCUCGUCACCCUUGGCAGAUUGAGAUAAAAUUUCGGAGACACAAGGUAAGGAUUUUUAUUGGUUGCAGUCGAAACUCGCUGCAUCCAAUCAAAAAGCGCCUAUAACAUGAUCAUGUGUAAAUGUAGAAAGUGUUUGUAAACAAUUGCCACGUGUUUAUUGUGCAACAAGUCUUUACAUUCUAUAAACAUACGACUAUAUUUAGUGACAAC
rnacentral:lncRNA from 1 species